rnacentral:rRNA from 1 species
UGCCAGCAGCCGCGGUAAUACGGAGGGUGCUAGCGUUGUUCGGAAUUACUGGGCGUAAAGAGCAUGUAGGCGGAUGAAUUAGUCAGAGGUGAAAUCCCCGGGCUCAACCCGGGAACUGCACUUGAUACUGCGAUGCUAGAGUUCGGAAGAGGGUAGUGGAAUUCCCAGUGUAGAGGUGAAAUUCGUAGAUAUUGGGAAGAACACCAGUGGCGAAGGCGGCUACCUGGUCCGAUACUGACGCUGAGGCACGAAAGCGUGGGUAGCGAACGGGAUUAGAUA